rnacentral:rRNA from 1 species
CCUACGGGUGGCUGCAGUGAGGAAUAUUGGUCAAUGGCCGGAAGGCUGAACCAGCCAAGUCGCGUGAGGGACGACUGCCCUAUGGGUUGUAAACCUCUUUUAUAAGGGAAGAAUAAAUGCUACGUGUAGCAUGAUGCCUGUACCUUAUGAAUAAGCCUCGGCUAACUCAGUGCCAGCAGCCGCGGUAAUACGGAGGAUGCGAGCGUUAUCCGGAUUUAUUGGGUUUAACGGGUUCGAAGUCGGUUUGUUAAGUUAGUGGUAAAACGUCGGGGCUUAACCGUGAUUUGCCAUUAAUACUGUAAGACUCGAGUUCAGACGAGGUAGGCGGAAUAAGUGAAGUAGCGGUGAAAUGCUUAGAUAUAACUUAGAACGCCGAUAGCGAAGGCAGCUUACCAGACUGCGACUGACGCUGAAGCACGAGAGCGUGGGUAGCGAACAGGAUUAGAUACCCUAGUAGUC